UCAUGAAAUCAGAGCAUUGUCAGAUUGUCCAUUCCUAUAUUCAGAGCGUUUUGCUUUCAGUGCGUUCAGAGCACACACUGGACGCUCUGGCCAAACUAACGUUGGAUAGCUUGCAAGCUACUUCCAGACACAAAUGAAAGAACAUCUCACUUUGAGCAUUUUACUCCCCCUAGCAGAGCUGGUUAGGCUGUUUUCAUGUUAUCCAGAGAAUUGGUGACUGUAACUGUGCUGCUGGCAACAAUUUAAUUACGUUUUUUUUUUUGCCGAUGUUUACUAACACCGGCAAUAUUCAAAAUCAUUGGGACAGCAUACAGGUGAUUUCUGUGAGCGCUGGUGUGCCAUCCUGAACAAAUGCUCUAUUGAUUUAAUUACAUUAAUUGUUGACCAGUUGAAAAAUGAUUUUAUUGAAAUGGUAAACACGAUUAAAGACAAACGCACAGCUCUACAAAUAGCUGUUAAUGAUGAUGGCAUAUUCUAUGAACUGAUGAAAAUUAACCAAGCGCUCCAGGACAAGGUGUCUGCAGAAAUAAAGGAACUUAAAAUCAAGAAAUUCAACCAAGACAUAAAAGACAAGGCUGAGAACAAAGUCUACUUCUGGAGAAACCCUGACAGGAGGUCCUGCUCCUCCUCUCCAUGGCAGACGCAGGAGGGAUGCCGCUUACUUCUAUCUACCCAUGUCUGACCCACGCUCUACAACCAGCGCCUCAUCGGCUUCCAGUGCUAGUUUUUUAUUCAACGAGAGAUAUUCAACGAGAGACUGUGCGGAUGGAAGGGCGGAGGUGGCCGCAGGCACGCGCAUCGACGAGAUGCAGCACCCGACGGGCAGAACACCGGCUGCCACGGAAGGAGUGGACCCAGCCCAGAUCAACCCAACCCAACAAGCAUAGACCACAGAGAGACCCUGUGACUCUACAGAAUGCUGCAAUGAUACAGAAGCGUCUGAGAUGGAAAUAACAUGUCCUGUCAUGGCAGGUCCUUUCCUUGGACAGGGGCUUCCUACAGGCAAAGAGGAGAAAGCCGGCUGUUUGUUUAAGUUAAGAGUCAACAUUCAUGUUAAAGCAUGUUUUGUUUAUUAAUACAUCUCCUAGUAAACGUAGGCUUCGGCCCUUUCCCCACCUAUUCUGUUGCUCUAUUUCUCUCUCUCAAACACACACAUGCAUGAGUACACAUUCCCCCCCACACACAAACACACACACUACCACCAUGUUUGCUCUGGUCACGUAAUACUUAAGGUGAUUUAAAACCAGAGCGGUGGCACUCUUUAUCUUAUUACAUAAACUGGAGGCAGUAUGUGCUGUGCUGCCUGUUGGGGCUCAUGGCUGGAGGCAGUAUGUGCUGUGCUGCCUGUUGGGGCUCGUGGCUGGAGGCUGGCAUGGGAUUCAUCCGGGCCCGUAUUCAUAAAGCAAAGCGCCUCAGAUAGGAGGGCUGAUCUAGGAUCAGUUUUGAGAGGCUGGAUCUGAUCAUAAAUCAGCCCUCCUCUUCUGAGAUGCUUUGUAAAUAUGGCCCAAAUACAUGGACUGGGCCGGGGAGCGAGUUGGCAGCAGCCCCUCAUCUGCAGUACUGGAGAGUGUGGGAGCUGGUGGCUCCACUACCAAAAGGAAAGAACCUGGUGUACUGACUGAACACAGAAAGAGACUGUUCCUUUUUAUUGAAUUCAGACAGACAUCCACAUGUAAAAGCCUGUGGUUUUGUAGCUGUUAUGUUUGUUUCUAGUUUGCACUUCAUCUAAACCUACUUUUCAGGAAGGCGGAUCCCACUUUGAGUGUCCCUUAUUCAGACCAGAGAAACUAAAUAGGAUGUUAGGGGACUAGAUUCAAGGCAAUCUGUGGAACAGAUUUGUCCCCGCUAAACAGAGUGAAAGGGGCCCCUCCUUCUGUAUAUUCUGCACAUUUCAUUGAAGAAUGCGUUGAUCCAACUCCAGCAACAUCUAUAUUCUGAAUGCAUAAUUCAAGCACUCUCAUACAGUACUCUCUACCUGUCAAUUAUCCUCUUCCAAAACAAAGAGCGUGAUUUGAGAGAGGGAUACUUGAGGAUCAGACGGUCAGCAGCUAUAUAUAGCCCCUUCUCAGCUGGAUAGGAACUGAAGCAGAGAACAGAGAAAGACAGAGAGAGAGGCAGAGAGAACAGAGAAUAGAGAGAGAGUGUCAUGAAUACUCAGGGAGAAAAAGGUGUAGAUUCACGUGCAGAGCGCGGCAGAUGUUUAUUAAGCCUUUUCAGAAGUCAGGAAUUGUUGGCUAUGGUAGGCUAAGGUCAAACAGAGGCAGGAAAUGGUCAAACACAGGCAGGAAAUGGUCAAACACAGGCAGGCAAUGGUCAAACACAGGCAGGCAAUGGUCAAACACAGGCAGGCAAUGG